UACGAAGGGGGCGAGCGUUGUUCGGAAUUACUGGGCGUAAAGGGCGCGCAGGCGGCUCUGAAAGUCAGAUGUGAAAGCCCCGGGCUUAACCUGGGAACUGCAUUUGAUACUCUAGAGCUUGAGUACGGGAGAGGAGAGUGGAAUUCCCAGUGUAGAGGUGAAAUUCGUAGAUAUUGGGAAGAACACCAGUGGCGAAGGCGGCUCUCUGGACCGUAACUGACGCUGAUGCACGAAAGCUGGGGGAGCAAACAGG
rnacentral:rRNA from 1 species